UGGGGAAUUUUGGACAAUGGGGGAAACCCUGAUCCAGCCAUCCCGCGUGUGCGAUGAAGGCCUUCGGGUUGUAAAGCACUUUUGGCAGGAAAGAAACGUCAUGGGUUAAUACCCCGUGAAACUGACGGUACCUGCAGAAUAAGCACCGGCUAACUACGUGCCAGCAGCCGCGGUAAUACGUAGGGUGCAAGCGUUAAUCGGAAUUACUGGGCGUAAAGCGUGCGCAGGCGGUUCGGAAAGAAAGAUGUGAAAUCCCAGAGCUCAACUUUGGAACUGCAUUUUAAACUACCGGGCUAGAGUGUGUCGGAGGGAGGUGGAAUUCCGCGUGUAGCAGUGAAAUGCGUAGAUAUGCGGAGGAACACCGAUGGCGAAGGCAGCCUCCUGGGAUAACACUGACGCUCAUGCACGAAAGCGUGGGGAGCAAACAGG
rnacentral:rRNA from 1 species